rnacentral:rRNA from 1 species
AAAGCGUGCGCAGGCGGUUAUGUAAGACAGAUGUGAAAUCCCCGGGCUCAACCUUGGAACUGCAUUAGUGACUGCAUAGCUGGAGUACGGCAGAGGGGGAUGGAAUUCCGCGUGUAGCAGUGAAAUGCGUAGAUAUGCGGAGGAACACCGAUGGCGAAGGCAAUCCCCUGGGCCUGUACUGACGCUCAUGCACGAAAGCGUGGGGAGCAAACAGGAUUAGAUACCCGAGU